UACGGGGGGGGCAAGCGUUGUUCGGAAUUACUGGGCGUAAAGGGUUCGUAGGUGGCUUGCUAAGUCAGACGUGAAAUCCCUCAGCUUAACUGGGGAACUGCGUCUGAGACUGGCAAGCUUGAGUGCAGGAGAGGAACGCGGAAUUCCAGGUGUAGCGGUGAAAUGCGUAGAUAUCUGGAGGAACACCGGUGGCGAAGGCGGCAUCCUGGACCAACACUGACGCUGAGUGAGCGAAAGCCAGGGGAGCAAACGGG
rnacentral:rRNA from 1 species